GGGCCCGCACAAGCGGUGGAGUAUGUGGUUUAAUUCGAUGCAACGCGAAGAACCUUACCAGGGUUUGACAUCCUGCGAAUCUCUUGGAAACAGGAGAGUGCCUUCGGGAACGCAGUGACAGGUGGUGCAUGGCUGUCGUCAGCUCGUGUCGUGAGAUGUUGGGUUAAGUCCCGCAACGAGCGCAACCCACGUCUUUAGUUGCCAGCAUUUAGUUGGGCACUCUAGAGAGACUGCCGGUGAUAAACCGGAGGAAGGUGUGGAUGACGUCAAGUCAUCAUGCCCCUUACAUCCUGGGCUACACACGUACUACAAUGCUACGGACAAAGGGCAGCAAGUUCGCGAGGACAAGCAAAUCCCAUAAAGCCGGUCGUAGUCCGGAUUGGAGUCUGAAACUCGACUCCAUG
rnacentral:rRNA from 1 species